UAUGCAAUUUAAACAAAUAAGAAUAAAAGAAGAUGAUAAUAAAAUUAAUAUUAUAAUAUAUAUUUAGUUUAAUAUGGUGAUAUUUUUUAGUUUGCUUCAUAAUUGUCGCAUCUACAGGUGGUUGAUGCAUGGGGAACAGUUGCUAUAUUGAUAAACAAUGCAGGUAUUACUAGAGAUGGUUUAUUGAUGAGAAUGAAGACUGCUCAAUGGAAGGAGGUUAUUGAUCUAAAUCUCACUGGUGUAUACCUAUGCACACAGGCGUGUAGAUUUUAAGCUCAGUUUUGGCAGUCAUAGUUUUCCUCUUAGUUGGAUCUAAGCAGCUUUUUUUACUACUCUUUGUAGGCUGCAACCGAAAUUAUGAUGAAAAAGAAAAAGGUGACAGCACAAGAUGUGUCAACAAUGCUAAGAUGUGGACAGAGGACCAUCAUCUUCCUUAUAGGAACCUGAGAAUUUUUGUUUCUUAGUGGAUGCUUUCAUAGUA